ACUUCAUCAUCUUCACAGAGGAACUGCAUCUGGCCUAGGAUUACCUUUCAGGCCUUUUUGUUAUCUCCUGUACUGCCACUUAGGGGGCAAAUAAGAUGGCUUUGGACAUCUUAUUUAAUACAAAUUUGUUACACACUGGAAUGGAUAGAAGAGCUGUUUUUCCUGAAACACAGUGCAUGUUCAAAUGAAGGAAAACCUCAACAUUCUAUACAUUACAUUAAUGUCAUACUGACAAUAUAACUAUUACAGGUAGGAUUCAGAGGGAAGAGUAAGCACUGUGCCUUGCCUGAUAAAAAGGGAAAGCUCAUGGCUUUCAUUCCAGAGGUCUGCUGCUUCAACUGUAACAAUGGAUUUUUUUAAAAGCAAACCAAGCUUUAAAAGGAAAACUCUUGAAAAAGCAAGGUUGAAGUGGAACACAGUUUGGUGUAAAGGAAAGGGUUGCAUUCUGAUAUAGUCUUACUCUUCCGAUCACGGGCACUCGCUUUCCAAAUGUACCCUAUUCCACAGAAGUUGUAGCUGUUGGGCAAAUAUCUUCAGGUGGACAAUGCUCAAAUAUCACCAAAGCAGAAAGGUGUUGGGGAUACCAAACAGGGCCUCCUUAAAGCUGCUUCACAGAGACACUGUACAAUGUAAGACAUAAAAUAAAAUGUACCUUUAAGAAC